UCAAUCCUGACUGGGUCCAAAAGCAUCACAAUGACAGGAAGUCUGCUUCAGUGGUAACAGGAGAAGUCUUUUUUUUUUUUUCAGACAAUGCUUCCAGCGUCUUACCAUGGACAGGAUGACCAGAGCAGGAACGGCUCCCAUGGCGACAUAUCCCACCACAUAUACAACGUCGAAAAGACAUGAUGUUACCUCUCAUGGAAGAAGAAGACAUACAGGGACCCUAAAGCAGCCAUGACCCAGAUCAGCCAUCGCAUGUGACACGCCCAAGGACCCAGAUCCCUCAGCAUCAACCUGACGACAGACACAGACCUACCAGGGAGAGUAAGAGGCCGCAAUGAAGAAGUAGAUGGCCAUUCGGUCGCACAUGUGGAAACGUUGCUCCACCUUUCUGGAAAUGAACACACAAAUACACGGAUUACAGUCAGGUAAGGAUACAUCGGGAUAUGCUAGGCUAGGCUAGUAGCUAGCCUGUGUGGUGUGCGAGGUGUCACUAUGUCAGUAUUAUAGUUCUUUAGCGUAACACUGUUAUGAAUGUGGAGCGUUGUUGAAGGCUUUAUAGGCAGAAUGGAUGCGUCCAAUUACGCGCCUCUUUUUAGCUGUUUUGUAUGUUUUUAAUACACAUAUGUUCGUGUAUCGGACAUCCCGAGUUAAUAUUUUUACUUUACGCUCAUAUAAUUACAGCAUUAUGGUUAAAUUAUAGUUUAGAAUAAUAAAACAGCAGCCAUGGUGCAAAAAUGGCCCCUGCGCCA